rnacentral:rRNA from 1 species
UACGUAGGGUGCGAGCGUUAAUCGGAAUUACUGGGCGUAAAGCGUGCGCAGGCGGUUCGUUGUGUCGGCGGUGAAAUCCCCGGGCUCAACCUGGGAAUGGCCGUUGAAACUGGCGAACUGGAGUGUGGCAGAGGGGGGUGGAAUUCCGCGUGUAGCAGUGAAAUGCGCAGAUAUCAGGAGGAACACCGGUGGCGAAGGCGGCUUGCUGGGCCAGUUCUGACGCUGAGGAGCGAAAGCGUGGGGAGCGAACAGG